AGAGUUUGAUCCUGGCUCAGAUUGAACGCUGGCGGCAUGCCUUACACAUGCAAGUCGAACGGCAGCGCGGGCUUCGGCCUGGCGGCGAGUGGCGAACGGGUGAGUAAUACAUCGGAACGUGCCCUGUUGUGGGGGAUAACUAGUCGAAAGAUUAGCUAAUACCGCAUACGACCUGAGGGUGAAAGCGGGGGACCGUAAGGCCUCGCGCAAUAGGAGCGGCCGAUGUCUGAUUAGCUAGUUGGUGGGGUAAAGGCCUACCAAGGCGACGAUCAGUAGCUGGUCUGAGAGGACGAUCAGCCACACUGGGACUGAGACACGGCCCAGACUCCUACGGGAGGCAGCAGUGGGGAAUUUUGGACAAUGGGGGCAACCCUGAUCCAGCAAUGCCGCGUGUGUGAAGAAGGCCUUCGGGUUGUAAAGCACUUUUGUCCGGAAAGAAAUCGCGCUGGCUAAUACCUGGCGUGGAUGACGGUACCGGAAGAAUAAGCACCGGCUAACUACGUGCCAGCAGCCGCGGUAAUAC
rnacentral:rRNA from 1 species